GCACUCUCCCGAGCUGCGCUAGGCGGGCGCCACGGCUGCCCGGCGAAGGAAACCGAAACCGAGUCCGGGCCCGUCCCUCCGCGGCCCCAUCCGCCCCGUGCACCCGGGGCCGCGCUCGCCAGGCCGCGGAGCCCAGAGCUGCGCGCACGAACCGGGCGCCGGGAGGGCGUGGCGCCGAAGGGUCCCGGGUCUUCGACGCCUCUGCGGCGGCUCCUCCCUCCUUGCAGUUGGAUCCCUGGCGGGUGCGGCUCGGCCCGGCCCGUGAGCGGCGCACAGAAUGGGCCGGUGCUGCUUCUACACGGCGGGGACGUUGUCCCUGCUCCUGCUGGUGACCAGCGUCACGCUGCUGGUGGCCCGGGUCUUCCAGAAGGCUGUAGACCAGAGUAUCGAGAAGAAAAUUGUGUUAAGGAAUGGUACUGAGGCAUUUGACUCCUGGGAGAAGCCCCCUCUGCCUGUGUAUACUCAGUUCUAUUUCUUCAAUGUCACCAAUCCAGAGGAGAUCCUCAGAGGGGAGACCCCUCGGGUGGAAGAAGUGGGGCCAUACACCUACAGGUAAGUCUUGACCACCUCCUGUCUUGAAAGAAAUACAGAGUGACCCCAAUAUGGCCUGAGUCCUUGCCUCUUCCCAAGAGCAAGGCUCCAGGGCUGUGUGGGAGCACACUUUCUGAUUUCAUUGUCUGAAACGCUGCUGAUGUUUUGUAUGUGUGUGUGAAACCUCAGCAGAGAAUGGCUUUGUGGACUGGGCCAAGUCUCAGCGUGUUGUGUUUUGAAGUGCAGCGGUUUCCUCCUGAGUUGGCAGACUGUGAUUAUUAAACCAUGAAGAGUUACUCCUUACCCUGACCCUUUUAAGGUUGCUCCUUGAUAUUCUUAUUUUAUUUUAUUUUUUUAAGAGACAAGAUCUGGCUUUGUUGCCCAGGCUGGAGUGCAGUAGAGCAGUCAUAGCUCACUGUCACCUCCAACUCCUGGGCUCAAGUGAUCCUCCUGCCUCAACCUCCCUAGUAGCUAGGAUUACAAGUGUUCACCACCACACCCAGAUAAUUUUUUUUGUAGAGAUGAGGUCUUGCUAUAUUGCCCAGGCUGGUCUUGAACUCCUGGGCUCAGGUGAUUCUCCCGCCUCAGCCUCCCACAGUGUUGGGAUUACAGGCGUGAGCACCACCAUGCCCGGCUACUGCUUGAUAUUCUUAAGUGACUUUUAGGGCCUCCCUCCAUUUCCAUUCCCCACAUAACUAGUUUUAAAGCAGUUCCAGAAUUUACUUUUGUCUGGGACAGAUCUUUCUGUUUCUUACCCGCUCCUUUUCUCCACCUAUCCUGGGUAUAAGCAAUAAGCAAGUAGCAGAGGCUGUUAGAGUCUUUGCUGGUGACCACCAGUUCUAAACACUGGGGAAUCAGGAUCCCUUUAAUCAUUUUUAAACGAUUAGUAGAGGGAGACGCUUGAAUCAGAGCAUUUUCUCUGUUGCAAUCUCCCCUUUUCCCUAUUACAAUACCUCCUCCCUCUCCCAUACAAUAAUCUUUCCAAUAAAGUCUCUCCUUACCAGGUUAGAAAACAAAUUAAUAGAGGAAGCAGACAACAAGAUCUUUCUUUUUCAAAACUGCUGAAUGAUAAAAAUGCCUGACAAUUCUGUUGUAAUCGAUUGCUCAAUAAAUUAUUGCUGACUGAUUCAUGUGCUAUGAAUCAGUACUAUUCUCAGUGGUGGGAAUUCAGAGAUAAAAAUCCUAGUUCCUGCCUUGGGUGCUCACGCUCUGACUCGAGUCAGAUGACCCAUUUUGAUUCCCGCCUCUGCAACUUACUAGUUCUCUGUGCUUCCAUUUCCUUAUCUAUAAAAUGGGGAUAAAAAUAGGACCUCCUCCACGUGGUUGUUACGAAGAUUGAGUCAAUGAGUCAUUAUGUAUAAAGUGCUUAGACUAGUGCCUCGCACAUAAUUAGUGAUACUUAAGUGUUUGCUCUUACUAUUAGUUGGAUUAGGCUAUUUUUGCAUUGCUAUGAAGAAAUACCUGAGACUGGGUAAUUUAUAAAGAAAAGAGGUUUAAUUGGCUCAUGGUUCUGCAGGCUGUACACACAUGGCACACUGGCUCUGCUCGGCUUCUGGAGAAGCCUCAAGGAGCUUUUACUCAUGGCAGAAGGCAAAGCAGGAGCAGGCACAUUACAUGGUGAAAGCAGGAGCAAGGGGUGAGGAGGUGCCACACUUUUACAACAACAAGAUCUCGUGAGAACUCACCCACUGUUGUGAGGACAGCACCAAACCUUGAGGGAUCCUCCCCUAUGACCCAAACAGCUCCCACCUGGCCCUACCUCCAACACUGAAGAUUACAGUUCAACAUGAGAUUUGGAGGGGACAUCCAAACUAUAUCAUUCCACCCCUGGCCUCCAAAUUUCAUGUCCUUCUCACAUGUCAAAAUAUAAUCAUCCCUUCUCAAUAGUCCCCCAAAGUCUUAACUCAUUCCAGCAUUAACUCAAAAGUCCUAAGUCCCAGGUCUCAUCUAGAAAUGAAUUCCUUCUACCUAUAAGCCUGUAAAAUCAAACAAGUUAUUUCCUUUCAAGAUACAAUGGGUGUAUCAGCAUUGGGCAAACAUUCCCAUUUGAGAAGGGAGAAAUUGGCCAUAAGAAAGGGGCUACAGGCCCCAAGCAAGUCUGAAACCCAACAGGGCAGUUAUUAAAUCAUAAAGCUCCAAAAUCAUCUUCUUUGACUCCGUGUCUCACAUCCAGAGCACACUGGUGCAAGGGGUGGGCUCCCAAGGCCUUAGGCAGCUCUGCCUCAGUAGCUUUUUUAUGCUGAGAUUGCAAGCUGAUGGUGGCUCUACCAUUCUGGUGUCUCAAGGACGGUGGCCUUCUUCCCACAGCUCCACUAGGCAAUGCCUCAGUGGGGACUCUGUGUGGAGCCUUCAGCUCCGCAUUUCCCCUCCUCACUGCCCUAGUAGAGUUUCUCUUGAGGGCUCUGCCCUUGGAGCAGGCUUCUGCUGGGGCACUUAGGCUUUCUCAUACAUCAUCUGAAAUCUAGGUGGAGGAUGCCAAGCUUCCUUCACCCUUGCACUCUGUGUUCCUUCAGGCUUAACAUCACAUGGAAGCUGCCAAAGCUUAUGGCUUGCACCCUCCAGAGGAGUGGCCUGAACUGUACCUGAGCCCCUUUGAGCCAUGGCUGGAGCUGGAGUGGCUGGGAUGUGGGAAACAGCACAGGGAAGUAGUGCCCCUGGCCUGGUCCCUGAAACCACUCAGUCCUCCUAGGUCUCAGGGCCUGUGAUGGAAGGGGCUGUCUCAGAGAUCUCUGAAAUGUUUUCAAGGCCUUUUCCCCAUUGUCUUGACUCUCAGCACUUGGCUUCUUUUUAGUUAUGCAAAUCGUUUUAGCAAUGGUUGCUGUACAGCCUGCUUGAAUUUAUCUCCCCACAAAAAUAUUUUGUUUUGUUUUGUUUUGUUUUUGAGACAGGGUCUCUGUUGCCAGGCUAGAGUGCGGUGGCAUGAUCAUGGCUCACUGCAGCCUUGACCUCCUGGGCUCAAGGGAUCCCCCUGCCUCAGCCUCCCAAGUAUCUAGGACUACAGGCAAGUGCCACCAUGCCUGGCUAAUUUUUAACUUUUUUUUUUUGAGACAGAGUCUCCCUAUGUUGCCCAGGCUGCGGAAAUGCUUUUUCUUUCUCUGCCACAUGGCCAGGUUGCAAAUUUUCCAAACCUCUAUGUUCUGCUUCCCUUUUAAAAAUAAGGUCCAACUUUAAGUCAUUUUUUUACUCCCACAUCUGAGUGUAGGCUGUUAGAAGCAGCCAGGCGACAUCUUGAAUGCUUUGCUGCCUAGAAAUUUCUGCCAGAUAUCCUAAAUCAUCACUCUCAAGUUCAAACUUCCACAGAUCCCUGGGGCGUGAACACAAUGCAGCCAAGAUCUUUGCUAAGGCAUAACACAUGUGAACUUUGCUCCAGUCCCAACAAGUUCCUCAUUUCCAUCUGAGACCUUUUCAGCCUGAACUUCACUGUCCAUGUCACUGUCAGCAAUUUGGUCACGAUCAUUUAAUCAGUCUCUGAGACAUUGCAAACUUUCCCUCAUCUUCUUGUCUUCUUCUGAGCCCUCCAAACUCUUCCCUUCUUUGCCCAUUACCCAGUUCCAAAGCUGCUUCCACAUUUUCCAGCUAUCUUUAUAGCAAUAUUUGACUCUCAGUACCAAUUUUCUAAAUUAGGUUGUUCUUACAUUGCUAUAAAGAAAUAACCUGGCUGGGCAUGGUGGCUCAUACCUGUAAUCCUAGCACUUUGGGAGGCCAAGGUGGGUGGAUCACUUGAGGUCAGGAGUUUGGGACCAGUCUGGCUAACACAGCAAAACCCCACCUCUACUAAACAUACAAAGAUUAGCCUGGCAUGGUGGUGCCCACCUGUAUUCCCAGCUAGUCAGGAGGCUAAGGCAGGAGAAUUGCUUGAACCUGGGAGGCAGAGGUU
rnacentral:sRNA from 1 species